rnacentral:rRNA from 1 species
UUCGGUACGUAAAGUUCUUUUAUUAGGGAAGAAUAAAUGAUGGAAAAAUCAUUCUGACGGUACCUAAUGAAUAAGCCCCGGCUAACUAUGUGCCAGCAGCCGCGGUAAUACAUAGGGGGCAAGCGUUAUCCGGAAUUAUUGGGCGUAAAGGGUGCGUAGGCGGUUAAAUAAGUUUAUGGUCUAAGUGCAAUGCUCAACAUUGUGAUGCUAUAAAAACUGUUUAGCUAGAGUAAGAUAGAGGCAAGUGGAAUUCCAUGUGUAGUGGUAAAAUGCGUAAAUAUAUGGAGGAACACCAGUAGCGAAGGCGGCUUGCUGGGUCUUUACUGACGCUGAGGCACGAAAGCGUGGGGAGCAAACAGGAUUAGAUACCCUGGUAGUCCACGCCGUAAACGAUGAGUACUAAACGUUGGGUAAAACCAGUGUUGAAGUUAACACAUUAAGUACUCCGCCUGAGUAGUACGUACGCAAGUAUGAAACUUAAAGGAAUUGACGGGACUCCGCACAAGCGGGGGAUCAUGUUGUUUAAUUCGAAGGUACCCGAAAAACCUCACCAGGUCUUGACAUGCUUCUGCAAAGCUGUAGAAACACAGUGGAGGUUUUCAGUUGCACAGGUGGUGCAUGGUUGUCGUCAGCUCGUGUCGUGAGAUGUUGGGUUAAGUCCCGCAACGAGCGCAACCCUUAUUGUUAGUUACCAGCACGUAAUGGUGGGGACUUUAGCAAGACUGCCAGUGAUAAAUUGGAGGAAGGUGGGGACGACGUCAAAUCAUCAUGCCCCUUAUGACCUGGGCUACAAACGUGAUACAAUGGCUGUUACAAAGGGUAGCUGAAGCGCAAGUUUUUGGCGAAUCUCAAAAAAACAGUCUCAGUUCGGAUUGAAGUCUGCAACUCGACUUCAUGAAGUUGGAAUCGCUAGUAAUCGCGAAUCAGCAUGUCGCGGUGAAUACGUUCUCGGGGUUUGUACACACCGCC